UGCGCUGCAGAGCAUGCGCGGCAGAGGAGGGGGCUGACUUGAGCAGAAAGCGCGGAGAGACAAGUCGAAAGGAAAAACCAGACGAUCGCUGAUAAAGAAAAGCAGACAGAAAGAAUUUACCUGAGCUUGAAAUAAAACAAGUGUUAGCGGAUCUCUGCUGGACAGCAGCGUGUCACUGUAGGAGCUGCUCAGUGCUGCUAGGAUGACCUGCAUGUGGUGGGAGCCUCCAGGAGUACCAAUUAUCUGAGACCACACAUCUCAGCGACGUGUGCGUGCCCAUCCCAGCAGGGGAAAGAG